AACGCACCUUGCGCUCCUUGGUAUUCCGAGGAGCAUGCCUGUUUGAGUGUCAUUAAAUUCUCAACCUCACCAACUUUGUUGUGUGGAGGCUUGGAUGUGGGGGUUUGCAGGUCCGCACUCGUGUGGUCUGCUCCUCUAAAACGUAUUAGUGGGUUAGUCCCCUAAUCUAUUGGUGUGAUAAUUAUCUACGCCGUGGAUUUGGAAGGCUAUCAUAGACCUGCUUCUAACCGUCCUCUGGACAACUUUGACAAUUUUGACCUCAAAUCAGGUAAGACUACCCGCUGAACUUAA
rnacentral:misc_RNA from 1 species